rnacentral:misc_RNA from 1 species
CCGAGUUUACAACUCCCAAACCCCUGUGAACAUACCACUUGUUGCCUCGGCGGAUCAGCCCGCUCCCGGUAAAACGGGACGGCCCGCCAGAGGACCCCUAAACUCUGUUUCUAUAUGUAACUUCUGAGUAAAACCAUAAAUAAUCA